AUCAUUACAUGGUGAUGAUGGGCGCUUCGUCCUCAUCAGGUUAUGCCCUCGGGCAUAGCUUCUCACCCUUGCUUAUGCGUACCCUUUGUUGUUUCCUCGGCAGGCUUGCCUGUCGCUAGGAACCCCCAUAAACCUUUUGCAAUAGCCUAUAUUCUUCUGAUAAUAAUCUAAAUUAUUACAACUUUCAACAAUGGAUCUCUUGGUUCUGGCAUCGAUGAAGAACGCAGCGAAAUGCGAUAAGUAGUGUGAAUUGCAGAAUUCAGUGAAUCAUCGAAUCUUUGAACGCACAUUGCGCCCCUUGGUAUUCCAUGGGGCAUGCCUGUUCGAGCGUCAUUUACCCCCUCAAGCUUUGCUUGGUGUUGGGCGUCUGUCCCGCCUUUUGCGCGUGGACUCGCCCCAAAGGCAUUGGCAGCGGUCUUGCCAGCUUCUCGCGCAGCACUUUGCGCUUCUUGAAGCAACUGGCGGAUUUCAGCAUCCAUCAAGCCCUCUUUUUUUUUAACUUGACCUCGGAUCAGGUAGGGAUACCCGCUGAACUUAAGCAUAUCAAUAAGCGGAGGAAAAGAAACCAACUGGGAUUGCCCUAGUAACGGCGAGUGAAGCGGCAACAGCUCAAAUUUGAAAUCUGGCCUCUUUGGGGUCCGAGUUGUAAUUUGCAGAGGGUGCUUUGGUGUUGGUGGCGGUCUAAGUUCCUUGGAACAGGACAUCGCAGAGGGUGAGAAUCCCGUAUGUGGUCGCCUGCCUUCGCCGUGUAAAGCCCCUUCGAUGAGUCGAGUUGUUUGGGAAUGCAGCUCUAAAUGGGAGGUAAAUUUCUUCUAAAGCUAAAUACCGGCCAGAGACCGAUAGCGCACAAGUAGAGUGAUCGAAAGAUGAAAAGCACUUUGGAAAGAGAGUCAAAUAGCACGUGAAAUUGUUGAAAGGGAAGCGCUUGCAGUCAGACUUGCCCGUAGUUGCUCAUCUAGGCUUUUGCCUGGAGCACUCUUCUGCGGGCAGGCCAGCAUCAGUUUGGGCGGCUGGAUAAAGGCCUCUGUCAUGUAUCUCCCUUCGGGGUGACCUUAUAGGGGAGGCGUAAUGCAGCCAGCCUGGACUGAGGUCCGCGCA
rnacentral:rRNA from 1 species